rnacentral:pre_miRNA from 1 species
AGUUUCAGAGGCUUAUGGCUCUAGGCCUCGACAGCCAGAAGCUUUAUAGCCCCAAACUUUAAAAGUCUGAGAC